GUGCACCAGGCGAGAAACCUCCGCAAUGCUCGAAAGAGCGACGGGGGGACUCCAAGUGCCUACGCUCAGCGUAGGCUGUUCCCGAGCCUAAAAAGCUCGGGGAGUAAGGGCUGGGUAAGACGGGUGCCAGCCGCCGCGGUAAUACCCGCAGCCCGAGUGGUGGCCGCUAUUAUUGGGCCUAAAGCGUCCGUAGCCGGCUCGGUAAAUGCCUGGGUAAAUCGUCUGGCCCAACCAGACGAAUUCCGGGUAGACUGCCGGGCUAGGGACCGGAGGAGGGAGAGGGUACUCCAGGGGUAGGGGUGAAAUCAGCAAGGUGAGUUGCUGAUGUAACUUGCCUUGCAAGUCACAAUCCUGUAAUCCCCGGAGGACCACCGGUGGCGAAGGCGCUCUCCUAGGACGGGUCCGACGGUGAGGGACGAAAGCCAGGGGAGCAAACCGGAUUAGAUACCCGUGUAGU
rnacentral:rRNA from 1 species